AACGAGACAAAGCAUCAGUUAAAUUGUUAGAGAUUAAGUUAUAUGAU
rnacentral:guide_RNA from 1 species